rnacentral:rRNA from 1 species
GACGAACGCUGGCGGCGUGCUUAACACAUGCAAGUCGAACGGAAAGGCCCCCACUUUUUUGGUGGGGGUGCUCGAGUGGCGAACGGGUGAGUAACACGUGGGUGAUCUGCCCUGUACUUCGGGAUAAGCUUGGGAAACUGGGUCUAAUACCGGAUAGGACCAUGGUUUAGUGUCUCAUGGUGGAAAAAUUAUUGUUUUGGUGCAGGAUGAGCUCGCGGCCUAUCAGCUUGUUGGUGGGGUAAUGGCCUACCAAGGCGUCGACGGGUAGCCGGCCUGAGAGGGUGGACGGCCACAUUGGGACGGAGAUACGGCCCAGACUCCUACGGGAGGCAGCAGUGGGGAAUAUUGCACAAUGGGCGCAAGCCUGAUGCAGCGACGCCGCGUGGGGGAUGACGGCCUUCGGGUUGUAAACUCCUUUCGUUAGGGACGAAGCCGCACCUUUUUUGGGUGUGGUGACGGUACCUUUGUGAAGAAGCACCGGCUAACUACGUG